UUAGAAAAGCAUACAAAUGGCUGUUACCAUUUCAGAUCUGGACACAGAAUCUAGUCUCAAGUCAUUCGACAAGUUCCUCUCCGGAAAAACCUAAUUUCUGGGGACCAACUUACUAAAGAUGACAUUAAGAUAUACGUUGCAGUGACACAUAAGGUCGAUGCCUUCCCUAAUGUUAGCAAGUGGUACCACUGCGUCUCCUCGCAACUCACUGCUAGCUUCCCUGGCAAAGCUGUUGGAGCGAAAAUAGCCAGCCAAGGUGCUCCGGCUGAGGAAGUGAAAAAGGUUUGUUUGACAAUCUUUCUUAACUGUCUAGUUGGAUAAUACUGUCAAAGAUUAAUGGCAUUUGUUUAUUGACUUUUCAGUUCACAGCUGUGACUUUUUAUGUACUGCACAGCUGGGUCAAUAAUCCAAGAGCCGUCUUUCAAUUUGAAAGUAAUAAUUCUGUUUCUUUUCCUGCGAACCAAAGUUGAUGUAUGGAAAAAUGUAGUGUUUUGAUCCCCGAACAAGAUCCAAUUUUGGCGAGCCUUUUGAAACCAGAGUAGUUCUUCCUGGACCAAAAGGCGAUUGGAAUUUAAAUAUGGAACGCAAAGGGAAUUCCAAACCUAUCUUCAUUCCAAUAUGCAAGUAUGAUUUUUUUUCG